ACCAACAUACAUCCAAAAAUCAUAAUAAAUUUAUCAGAGCCUAUUUAUGUCAUAAUUAACACUCUCCUAAAUUUUUAUGGCCAGAAGACUCACAGAUCUCAAGAUAUAAUUAUCUUCUAUUUAACUAAGAUUAAAUCAUAACUAUUUUUUUCUGCAAAAACAUGGUAUGUUUUAUAUUUUUAAUAAAAACUAGACCAAUUCAAGAACCUAACAAAACUGGUUUCACUCAAAACGGGUCCCUGCAGCUUGAGAUAUUGAAUUUACAAGCUUUUAAAAAAAAGAACAUAGAAAAAAUUAAAACGAAAAUAACCACACCCUAAGAACUACUACAUGCACCUAGUGCUGAGUACCCCAAAGGCUGACAGCUGGGACCCAAGGUCAACCUGGACCCACACGUCAUAAGGACAAAAACAGGGGAGCUACUUUGACCGGCCAUAGCUCGCCGGCGGCGAACUUUCCGGCGACACGACCAGCACCAACAGACUCCUU
rnacentral:lncRNA from 1 species